rnacentral:sRNA from 1 species
AGAAGAGGAAGAAGAAACUGUAAA